CCCCCCCCUCCCCUCAUUCUCUCAUCUCUCCGUCUCCAAUACCCUAGUUCGACCUCAGCUCUUCAAUUCUAGGGUUUCUCUCUCAUUUCCCCCAAAUUCGACCUCAGCUGCAAGAUCUAAGCCCAGUCAAUGCCCCAAUCCAGGGAAAAUUGGGUCCUGACUGGUCACCAUUACCCUCUUCUGAGAUCAGCGGUUGUUGAUCUCUAAUUUGGUGCAGAUUCGAGUCUUCUGUGUUGUGCAAGUGCGAAGCUACGAACGGACCAGUUUUGAGUUUCCAUGUCAAGCACACGAUUGGAAUUGGUAUAUAUCAACCGUUCGUUCGAUGUAUUUUGUUCAUGGCAUUGAUUGUAAUAGACUUUGUUGGUUAAGAUCUUCUAUAUGAAAUUGACUGUAAUAUACUUUGCGACUAGAAAUGGAUUAUACUUUAUAUUGGGAAUACCAUGACAUUUACUUUA